GUGACAUGUUAUGUCUCGACAAUGCUUGCAGGAUCCGACGCUGAUAACACUAACAUCGAUGAGCCUGUAGACUCCAACACGGGAUCUAUCGAGCUUGAUCCUUUCGACUAUGUGUACUCGAACAUCCCAGACAGCACGCACAUCCUGAAGCACGCGGUGAACUACAACCAUUGCAAGGCCAAGAAGUUCCAGUACGAGAUUGACGGCUUCUGCUGUCGAAACGGGGAGAUUAAGCUGGCUGAACCGGAGCCUAUCCCAGAGCUGAUGAGGUUAUGGUCUAGCGCGGAUGGAGACUCUCGGCAUUUCCUGGACAGCAUUCGGUUCUUCGGCCACUUCUCCUUCACUACCCUUGGUGUCAACCUAGACAACAACUACACAAACAUGAAGUCGGGAGUGUACACGUUUCGGGCACAUGGCACUAUGUAC
rnacentral:rRNA from 1 species